rnacentral:rRNA from 1 species
CCUACGGGUGGCAGCAGUGAGGAAUAUUGGUCAAUGGACGAGAGUCUGAACCAGCCAAGUCGCGUGAAGGAUGACUGCCCUAUGGGUUGUAAACUUCUUUUAUAUGGGAAUAAAACGUUCCCCGUGUGGGAUUUUGUAUGUACCAUAUGAAUAAGGAUCGGCUAACUCCGUGCCAGCAGCCGCGGUAAUACGGAGGAUCCGAGCGUUAUCCGGAUUUAUUGGGUUUAAAGGGAGCGUAGGUGGAUUGUUAAGUCAGUUGUGAAAGUUUGCGGCUCAACCGUAAAAUUGCAGUUGAAACUGGCAGUCUUGAGUACAGUAGCGGUGGGCGGAAUGCGUGGUGUAGCGGUGAAAUGCUUAGAUAUCACGAAGAACUCCGAUUGCGAAGGCAGUUCACUGGACUGCAACUGACACUGAGGCUCGAAAGUGUGGGUAUCAAACAGGAUUAGAUACCCUAGUAGUC